rnacentral:rRNA from 1 species
GACAGAGGUGCCAAGCGUUAGGCGGAAUCACUGGGCUUAAAGCGUGUGUAGGCGGACGUCUAAGUACCUUGUGAAAUCCCCCGGCUCAACCGGGGAACUGCUGGGUAUACUGGGCGUCUUGGGCCAACUAGGGGCUGCCGGAACAAAUGGUGGAGCGGUGAAAUGCGUAGAUAUUCGCAAGAACACCAGUGGCGAAGGCGGCUCACUGGCCCGAUACUGACGCUGAGGCACGAAAGCGUGGGGAGCAAACAGG